CACGUAAGCAACCUACCCUAAAGACGAGGAUAACCAUUGGAAACAGUGGCUAAGACUGGAUAGGAAGAUAAAAGGCAUCUUGUAUCUUUUAAAAGACCUAGUUAAUAGGUAUGCUUUAGGAGGGGCUUGCGCCAUAUUAGUUAGUUGGUAGGGUAAUGGCCUACCAAGACGAUGAUGUGUAGCUGGACUGAGAGGUUGAACAGCCACAUUGGGACUGAGACACGGCCCAAACUCCUACGGGAGGCAGCAGUAGGGAAUUUUCGGCAAUGGAGGAAACUCUGACCGAGCAACGCCGCGUGAAUGACGAAGUACUUCGGUAUGUAAAGUUCUUUUAUCGAGGAAGAAAAGCAAAUGGCGAACCAUUUGUUUGCCGGUACUUGAUGAAUAAGCCCCGGCUAAUUAUGUGCCAGCAGCCGCGGUAAGACAUAAGGGGCAAGUGUUAUCCGGAAUUAUUGGGCGUAAAGGGUGCGUAGGCGGUCUAGUAAGUCAGUGGUGUAAUGGCAACGCUUAACGUUGUCCGGCUAUUGAAACUGCUAAACUUGAGUUAGAUAGAGGCGAGUGGAAUUCCAUGUGUAGCGGUAAAAUGCGUAAAUAUAUGGAGGAACACCAGAGGCGUAGGCGGCUCGCUGGGUCUUAACUGACGCUGAGGCACGAAAGCGUGGGGAGCAAACAGGAUUAGAUACCCUGGUAGUCCACGCCGUAAACGAUGAGUACUAAGUGUCGGGUUAAACCGGUACUGAAGUUAACACAUUAAGUACUCCGCCUGAGUAGUACGUACGCAAGUAUGAAACUUAAAGGAAUUGACGGGACUCCGCACAAGCGGUGGAUCAUGUUGUUUAAUUCGAAGAUACCCGAAAAACCUUACCAGGUCUUGACAUGUUUUUGCAAAAUGAUAGUAAUAUCGUGGAGGUUACCAGAAACACAGGUGGUGCAUGGUUGUCGUCAGCUCGUGUCGUGAGAUGUUAGGUUAAGUCCUAAAACGAGCGAAACCCUUAUCGUUAGUUGCCAGCACGUUAUGGUGGGGACUUUAACGAGACUGCCAAUGAUAAAUUGGAGGAAGGUGAGGAUCACGUCAAAUCAGCAUGCCCCUUAUGACCUGGGCUACAAACGUGAUACAAUGGCUGUUACAAAGGGUAGCUGAAACGCAAGUUCUUGGCCAAUCCCCAAAAACAGUCCCAGUCCGGAUUGAAGUCUGCAACUCGACUUCAUGAAGUUGGAAUCGCUAGUAAUCGCGAAUCAGCAUGUCGCGGUGAAUACGUUCUCGGGGUUUGUACACACCGCCCGUC
rnacentral:rRNA from 1 species